AGGACUCCUCUUCAUAUUGCAGCAUCAGAAGGACGUAAUGAAGUUGUAUCAGUUUUAUUGUCUAAUGGUGCUGAUCCAAACAUUAAAGAUGAAGAUGAAAGGACUCCUCUUCAUUAUGCAGCAUUAAUAGGACGUAAUGAAGUUGUAUCAGUUUUAUUGUCUAAUGGUGCUGAUCCAA